AAGAUUGAUGUUGAAAUUUGUUUUGGCAUGGUUCAUGUUAUUUAGAUUGUUUUAAGGCAAAUGGAUGAUGUAUUCUCGAUGUGUGAUGUUUGUUGGUCAUGAUGGUGUACUUGUUACUCAUUUCUGGGCGAAAUUUAUUUUCACGAUUUUGGUUGGAUGGAUGAUGAGCACUGUUGCCAUAAACCCUAAAAAUUGAACCCAGGAGAUGUUUUGAUCUGUCUUGAACGCGAUUGGUUGUUGUUGUUUGUUUUUUUG
rnacentral:lncRNA from 1 species